AAGUCGUAACAAGGUUUCCGUAGGUGAACCUGCGGAAGGAUCAUUAACACAUGAUUACCUCAUAAACCAACCGUGAACCUAUACCUGUCCCUUGGUUGCAGUUGUAGUAGUCUAUUUGAAGUUAUGUUGUGGGAGCCUUCGGGCUCAGCUUCAUCUAGGCGUUGAUUGCUGUACUUUCGGUACAUCUUUCAGCUCUCUGCAGCGAAGGCUUUUUUCUACCUAUUUCAGCCACCACACUGACUGGGAUAUGGUAGUUGAAACUUAAUAACCCCUUUAACCUUUUUUUGUACUGAUGGAGUGAAUCAUGGCUUUAAUCGGCUGUGAAACACAAUCCUAUAACGCUAUACAACUCUUAGCAACGGAUAUCUCGGUUCUC
rnacentral:misc_RNA from 1 species